UUGAACGCUGGCGGCGUGCUUAACACAUGCAAGUCGAUCGGUAACAGGUGUAGCAAUACAUGCUGACGAGAGGCGGACGGGUGAGUAAUGCUUGGGAAUCUGCCUAUUAGUGGGGGACAACCCGGGGAAACUCGGGCUAAUACCGCAUACGCUCUACGGAGGAAAGCCGGGGACCGCAAGGCCUGGCGCUAAUAGAUGAGCCCAAGUCGGAUUAGCUAGUUGGUAGGGUAACGGCCUACCAAGGCGACAAUCCGUAGCUGGUCUGAGAGGACGACCAGCCACACCGGAACUGAGACACGGUCCGGACUCCUACGGGAGGCAGCAGUGGGGAAUAUUGGACAAUGGGGGCAACCCUGAUCCAGCGACGCCGCGUGGGUGAAGAAGGCCUGCGGGUUGUAAAAGCCCUUUCGGUGGGGAAGAAAAGUCUCGACCUAAUACGUCGGGACCUUGACGUAA
rnacentral:rRNA from 1 species